rnacentral:rRNA from 1 species
CGGGGGGCAGCAGUGGGGAAUAUUGCGCAAUGGGCGAAAGCCUGACGCAGCGACGCCGCGUGAGGGACGAAGGCCUUCGGGUUGUAAACCUCUUUCAGCAGGGAAGAAGCGAAAGUGACGGUACCUGCAGAAGAAGCACCGGCUAACUACGUGCCAGCAGCCGCGGUAAUACGUAGGGUGCAAGCGUUGUCCGGAUUUAUUGGGCGUAAAGAGCUCGUAGGCGGUUUGUUACGUCGGAUGUGAAAACCCGGGGCUCAACCCCGGGCCUGCAUUCGAUACGGGCAGACUUGAGUGUGGUAGGGGAGACUGGAAUUCCUGGUGUAGCGGUGAAAUGCGCAGAUAUCAGGAGGAACACCGAUGGCGAAGGCAGGUCUCUGGGCCACUACUGACGCUGAGGAGCGAAAGCGUGGGGAGCAAACAGGAUUAGAUACCCGAGU